GCUAUGGGAGGAACAGUUUUCACUACCAACAAAGCUGAGAUCAACGAAACGGUCAAAAUCAUUUCGUUGUCAGUUGAAGACACUGCCCAGGCAACGUUACUGAAGCAUGUAUGGACGUUUUCCAGCCAGACCAAUGUGCGCAUGCUCCGUGUGGACCACACGGUGGCUCAGUUGUCUGUCAGAGUACGAGGACUGUCUGGUACUCCCGCAAUUAAGAUAAUCAACCCUGAAGGUAUCGAGCAUGGUGACUUGAAAGUAGAACGUGCAGGGAAUUUUGUCCAAGUGUACAACAUUAAA